rnacentral:rRNA from 1 species
CUUAAAGGAAGUUAGACGGGGCCCGGCACAAGCGGUGGAGUAUGUGGUUUAAUUCGAUGCAACGCGAAGAACCUUACCUGGUCUUGACAUCCCGGAGACCCUUAGGAAACUAGGGGGUGCUUCCAUCUGGAAGAAUCUGGAGACAGGUGCUGCAUGGCUGUCGUCAGCUCGUGUCGUGAGAUGUUGGGUUAAGUCCCGCAACGAGCGCAACCCUUGCCUUUAGUUGCCAGCAGUUCGGCUGGGCACUCUAAAGGGACUGUCGGUGUUAAACCGGAGGAAGGUGGGGAUGACGUCAAGUCCUCAUGGCCUUUAUGACCAGGGCUACACACGUACUACAAUGGCCGAUACAAAGGGCAGCGACACUGCGAGGUGAAGCCAAUCCCGUAAAAUCGGUCUCAGUCCGGAUUGGAGUCUGCAACUCGACUCCAUGAAGUUGGAAUCGCUAGUAAUCGUGGAUCAGCAUGCCACGGUGAAUACGUUCCCGGGCCUU